rnacentral:lncRNA from 1 species
UUUCCCUGCAUGUCUGUAUCCAUGGUGGACGCAGAGGGAAAGUGCUUUGAGAAUCCAGCAUAUGAAGUUGGAGACAAGCUUGAAUCCAAAAGUGUUCCGACAGCCCCCUUCGCAACUGACAAGGCAAACAAGAUGAACAUUGAUAAUCCGCUGUAUUCUGAAGAGGGUACUCCCUCUCCAAGCAAGGAGGCUUUUGAAAUGCCCCAAACACACUCAAAUACUGACGAUAUUCAGGUGACAUCUACUCAUCCUGCCUCCUCCAGCACACAGUUCGAACCAAUUGGAGAUUACAGUCUUGGUGCAUUCCAAAAUCCCACAUACACGGACGAAGCUCCUCCCUAUUCCAGCGUUUGACGGGACUGCUGAUUGACCCAAACCAAAAAACUUGACUUCCAUUUUUUCAAGAUGUCUGGAGUAAAAUCACAGCAACAACAGACUUGCAGCAAAUCAUCAACAACAGCGUGUACAUGUUUAGUAAUUACAGAAUUUGUGUAAAAAAAAAAAGAUCUUUUUGAUGUGAAAAAACCUAGAUGAUGCUUAAUGACUUUUGAAACAUGUUCACAUUAUUUUGCAUCUUUUAAAAUUUUUGAUUAUAAAAAGUAAACUUGCUGUUAUCAUGAUCGUGUUUUUCAUUACAUCACCUCUCAUCCACAAACACAUACCCUUGUCUUUUUGGUGGGUCACAUGAGUCUGGGAACAUUAAAAUCACUCCGACAUCAGCAGAGGAAGAUCAUAAAAGUUGGAACUAAGCAGAUUGUGGGAAUGAGAAGUCGAUAAGUAGACAAAGGAAAAAUGAUGAACUAUGUGUAACCAGUGUUUGGUGCUUUAGGAUGAUUCACAGCAUGUUUCCUCAUUAGGGAUCUGUGAGUAUCAGCCAUAGUGAUGGCGUUCAGAGAAUGUCGGAAAUGUUAUCCAUACAGCAACUUUUGGGCCAGACCAGAAAUGUUAGACAGAAUUUUCUCUCUUUUUUUUCCCCUGUUUGUUUGUUUAUUUGUUUAUUAAGCCAAAUAUACACAGAAAACAAUUCUGCAAAUGACGUGAUGUUAACAUGUGAACAUUAACAUGAAAGAACCCAUACAUUACACAAUCUUCAUUUCUGUGUUCCAACUGAAAACAAAAUUAUUCCAAUUCUGUACAGAACUGAUUAUUUCAAAAUCCAGUAAUUAUCCAGCGAAUUUCACAUAGUUAGGCAUCAUCAUCAAAAUUCAUUAUAUGUAGUAAAAUAUUUUAUUCCAUAAAUGUAAAUCUAAAUCUAAAGUUAAUUUGCUGCAGUUCAACUGUUGAAUUUCAGUGCCUAUAUUUCUGUUGUGACUUUGAACAAAUGAAUAUGAGUAAUUGUUUUUAAUCAAAUAAAAACAAAUUAAAAUAUAUAUAUAUAUAUGUA